rnacentral:rRNA from 1 species
AGUGAACGCUGGCGGUAGGCCUAACACACGCAAGUCGAACGGCAGCACAGUAAGAGCUUGCUCUUACGGGUGGCGAGUGGCGGACGGGUGAGGAAUACAUCGGAAUCUACUUUUUCGUGGGGGAUAACGUAGGGAAACUUACGCUAAUACCGCAUACGACCUACGGGUGAAAGCAGGGGAUCUUCGGACCUUGCGCGAUUGAAUGAGCCGAUGUCGGAUUAGCUAGUUGGGGGGGUAAAGGCCCACCAAGGCGACGAUCCGUAGCUGGUCUGAGAGGAUGAUCAGCCACACUGGAACUGAGACACGGUCCAGACUCCUACGGGAGGCAGCAGUGGGGAAUAUUGGACAAUGGGCGCAAGCCUGAUCCAGCCAUACCGCGUGGGUGAAGAAGGCCUUCGGGUUGUAAAACCCUUUUGUUGGGAAAGAAAAGCAGCAGGUUAAUACCCCGCUGUUCUGACGGUACCCAAAGAAUAAGCACCGGCUAACUUCGUG